rnacentral:rRNA from 1 species
UGCAGUCGAGCGGGAAAGUUCCCUUCGGGGGACGAGUAUAGCGGCGGACGGGUGAGUAACACGUAGGUAACCUACCCUUUAGUCUGGGAUAACUCGCCGAAAGGCGGGCUAAUACCGGAUAAGACCACGAGGUUUGCGGAUCAUGUGGUAAAAGAUGGCCUCUUCUUGAAAGCUAUCACUAGGGGAUGGGCCUGCGCGCCAUUAGCUUGUUGGUGAGGUAACGGCUCACCAAGGCUGCGAUGGCUAGCUGGUCUGAGAGGAUGACCAGCCACACUGGGACUGAGACACGGCCCAGACUCCUACGGGAGGCAGCAGUGGGGAAUAUUGCGCAAUGGGGGAAACCCUGACGCAGCGACGCCGCGUGGGUGAUGAAGGCUUUCGGGUCGUAAAGCCCUGUCGGGAGGGACGAAACAUCCGUCGGUUAAUACCCGGCGGACCUGACGGUACCUCCAAAGGAAGCACCGGCUAACUCCGUGCCAGCAGCCGCGGUAAUACGGAGGGUGCAAGCGUUGUUCGGAAUUACUGGGCGUAAAGAGCGUGUAGGCGGUUUCUUAAGUCUGAUGUGAAAGCCCGGGGCUCACCCCCGGAAGUGCAUUGGAAACUGGGAAACUAGAGUACCGGAGAGGAAGGUGGAAUUCCUGGUGUAGCGGUGAAAUGCGUAGAUAUCAGGAAGAACACCGGUGGCGAAGGCGGCCUUCUGGACGGAUACUGACGCUGAGACGCGAAAGCGUGGGGAGCAA